ACCCACUCACACCCCGACACGCGUCCUCCUCCCCAUUGCACUUAUAAACCAACCAAAUCAACGGGAAAGCAAUUCAGGCGGCAAUCAUAUAUUCACUCCUUCCAUCUCUCCUCUCCCUCAUUCCCAGAGAGAGAGCAAACCAAACCGGCCAGUUUCCUACACAAACACAGGAAAUUUUGUGGAGUGGACUGUGUAUACUUUGAUCAUACGCAGAGAUGGUCGGGAUGGAGGUGAAAUGGUGGGAGAAAAUGGUGUUUCCGAUGCGGAAAGUUUGGGUUAGCGUCUCCAGAAGGUUUGGGUUUCGCAAAACAGGUUAGGAUUCUCUCCAAUUUUCAUGAAAUUAUGUUGCUUUCUUGGGUUUAAUCUUAUCUGGGUUUGGAAUCUCGCAAGUUGUUGCUUUUGUUAUUUCAACUGUAGUAGUGCCUUCAAUUUAUUUUUUUCAAGUAUAAGGAGAUGCUGUCUAAAUUCAUAUUUAAAAGGUACCUUUUUGAAAUCUAUCUAGUUGCUACUUGUCAAAAUUGUAGUAUUUGUCAAAUAUGUUGAGUUGUAGGAAAUAAAAAGAAAGAAAAGAAAUUAAAAGAAGCCAAUUUUAUUAAAAAAAUGACAGUGAGCUGGCUUUUCAGUAAAAUCAAAGAUGUUAAAUGGAAGAAUGCAUCAUUACAUUACACAAACUUACUGAGCUCAAAUCUUCCUAGCUAAGGCAUCAAACCAACCAUGCAUUGAUCUAAGUGAAAAUGUUUCAGGGCUCAUCAAACUCCACAAAGACGUGAGGACAUGUGAGUACGAGGAUGUCCAUAUAUUAUGGGACUUGCUGAAGAGGAACGAGGCCAGAAGCAGAAAGGGCCACUCGUGGAGGUUCCAAUGGGCUCUUUGCUUUGCCGCUGAUCUUAAUGAAUCUUACUUUUGAACAACAUAUAUAUGCAGUGUGUGUGAGCUCUGAAGAUCAUACCAUUUUGCUGUCUCUUACUGUAAUUAAUCAGUAUCCUCUUUCUCUUGAAACUGUGAAGAUGUAAAUGUCCUAUGAUGUUUCUCUCCACACUCAACGUAGGUCUCUCUUUUUGGGUUUUUUUUAAUGUAGAAGGGAUGCUGGAGAUUAGCUAAAUGUAUGAUAUUGUGGAGGCUCUCCAACUGUAUGUUUGUUGGAAUCAAAGAACCCCUCCCAUUCUUGGGAUGUUGUAAUAA